UACGUAGGGUGCAAGCGUUAAUCGGAAUUACUGGGCGUAAAGGGCUCGUAGGCGGCCAACUAAGUCAGACGUGAAAUCCCUCAGCUUAACUGGGGAACUGCGUCUGAUACUGGAUGGCUUGAGUUCGGGAGAGGGAUGCGGAAUUCCAGGUGUAGCGGUGAAAUGCGUAGAUAUCUGGAGGAACACCGGUGGCGAAGGCGGCAUCCUGGAC
rnacentral:rRNA from 1 species